UGUAAGGAGGUGGAGGGGGUGAGGCGAAGGCGGAGUGGGCUGUGGUUGGUUGGAAUGACGGGGGGGAAAGGGCGCGUAGGCGGGUUGUUAAGUGAGGCGUGAAAGCCCUGGGCUUAACCCAGGAGGUGCGUUUCAUACUGGAAAGCUUGAGUGCGAGAGAGGAAAGUGGAAUUCCUAGUGUAGAGGUGAAAUUCGUAGAUAUUAGGAAGAACACCAGUGGCGAAGGCGACUUUCUGGCUCGCAACUGACGCUGAGGCGCGAAAGCGUGGGGAGCAAACAGGAUUAGAUACCCCUGUAGUC
rnacentral:rRNA from 1 species